GCUUAAACGAUCUCUAACCUGCUCUUCUUCAACCAAGCAAAAGUCCUCCUUUUUCCAGACUUCCUCUCUUGUCUCCAGGGUCUUGAAUUCCUGAAAGCUGGUCUUAGCAGUAAAGUCUGAAACAAAGAAGGCCAUCAGCAGCUGCCUUCUCAAUUUAAUUCCAAACGGGCCUUAGCCUUCCUCAUCAUGUCUCUGCAUACUCUGACAAGUAUUUCGCAGCACUUGUAUUUUGUAGGGCUAAUAUUCAAAAUGUGUUUUUAAUUAACCACAUAAGCCAUGUAUUUCAAAA